rnacentral:lncRNA from 1 species
GAGAUAAAUACAAGCCCGAUAAUAACUCACUGCAGACUUGGCUUCAUUCCUAGAUUUCCUUGGCUGUUUGUCCUAAUAAAGUGUCUCCAUGGCACUUAGGGCAGGAAGGUUAUUAGUAGCUGUCAAUCAAAGGCAGGAGUAUGUGUUGGAGGGAGCAGGAAGAGAAGAGAGGUGACAUUCAUCCUCUCCUCUCCCUUAUAUAUUGGGUGUAGAAGUCAUUCAGAGCAAGUGGUUAAAAAGGGAGAGGUCCUGCUUCAUCCCCACGGAAAAAAAAGAGAGAGGAAACUGCCUUGGUAACCAACAGUUUAAUAAUAUAGCAGCUGAUGUCAAUCAUUUUUCUUUUACUUUCAUUGAUACUGGGAUGUUUAUUAAGUGCCAGGACUAUGAAGGACGUAGGCAGAGAAACACAUCUGCAGUGCUAUCCGGGCACCUGAGGGAGAAGAGUAGGAACACAAAGCCAAAGUAACUUGGUUUCCAAUUCAAAUGAUCCUUGCAACCCAAAGUGACUCUUGGACUGGCGAAAGAGAGAAGACGAUAUAUGCUGGAGGAACAGAAGACUGGCCUAACAUCAUGGCAUUGCAAGGGAUAGUAGCUGUAAAAGUGAUCAAAGGAACAAAACUUAAUUCUGUUCACAAAAAAAUCUGGGUAUCACUCAGCUUUGCUACAUGAAACAGGAUCCUGUGAAUCUUCACUUGGAAGUUCUCAGAACAUACUGUGGACUAUCACACCAUCUGCACCGAGAUCCUCACAUCCAAACACAAAUUAAAAAUGAAACUGUAAAAUUUGCAAGGAAACAAUACAGACCUUUUAUCUCAUUCUCCCUCUGUUCAUUUUCAAAAGAGAAACUUGCUUGUAGCCAAGCAUAGCUAAAAAGCCUUUUAUUAAUUGGACUGGCAUCAAGCUUGCAUACAUAAAAUUGUUUAUUUUUUCCCCUAUAAAGGGGUUGCCUGACAUAAAAGGGUCUUUGAAGAUGACAUUCAGAUUUUGACAUUUGCAUGAUAUUGUAUAAAUAUCAGAGGUAGGAGACUUCUCUGACAAACCAGAUGGGUCAGGAAAAGCACUUCCGUAGAUAGAUAUUAGUCUUUUACUUAAAGCGUAUUAGCUUCUUCUCAAAGCUGUGAAUGAUUAGACAGCUAAAACAAAUACAUUUCGCCCACUAACUGUGUCUUGCUUACUUCAUUUCCCCCCCCUCAAACAAGAACUAGGAUGGGUUGGGGGAAUAUAAAAUAAUAUCAUUACUCUGGCACUCUCCCUCCCCUUGUAAUUCAAUUAAGAUCAAACAAUAAAAAUGAACCUCCUCUUUUGAUUGCCA